AUUGAACGCUGGCGGCAGGCCUAACACAUGCAAGUCGAGCGGUAGCACAGGAGAGCUUGCUCUCCGGGUGACGAGCGGCGGACGGGUGAGUAAUGUCUGGGAAACUGCCUGAUGGAGGGGGAUAACUACUGGAAACGGUAGCUAAUACCGCAUAACGUCUACGGACCAAAGUGGGGGACCUUCGGGCCUCACGCCAUCAG
rnacentral:rRNA from 1 species